UCUAUGGUGGCUCAGGUGGGGCAACCGUAAGGUUGGCCGGUUGGUUUAUCCGGUAAGGCGAACCCCAUCUGGGCUACCACCCA
rnacentral:antisense_RNA from 1 species